UACGUAGGGGGCGAGCGUUGUCCGGAGUUACUGGGCGUAAAGCGCACGCAGGCGGUCAGCCAAGUGUGGGGUGACAGGUCACGGCUUAACCGUGGCAGUGCCUUGCAGACUGGGAGACUUGAGGGCCAAAGAGGGACAUGGAACUCCAGGUGUAGUGGUGAAAUGCGUAGAUAUCUGGAAGAACACCAAUGGCGAAGGCAAUGUCCUGGGUGGUACCUGACGCUGAGGUGCGAAAGCUAGGGGAGCGAACGG
rnacentral:rRNA from 1 species